GAUGAACGCUGGCGGCGUGCCUAAUACAUGCAAGUCGAGCGAACAGACGAGGAGCUUGCUCCUCUGACGUUAGCGGCGGACGGGUGAGUAACACGUGGAUCACCUACCUAUAAGACUGGGAUAACUUCGGGAAACCGGAGCUAAUACCGGAUAAUAUAUUGAACCGCAUGGUUCAAUAGUGAAAGACGGUUUUGCUGUCACUUAUAGCUGGAUCCGCGCCGCAUUAGCUAGUUGGUAAGGUAACGGCUUACCAAGGCAACGAUGCGUAGCCGACCUGAGAGAGUGAUCGGCCACACUGGAACUGAGACACGGUCCAGACUACUACGGGAGGCAGCAGUAGGGAAUCUUCCGCAAUGGGCGAAAGCCUGACGGAGCAACGCCGCGUGAGUGAUGAAGGUCUUCGGAUCGUAAAACUCUGUUAUUAGGGAAGAACAAAUGUGUAAGUAACUAUGCACGUCUUGACGGUACCUAAUCAGAAAGCCACGGCUAACUACGUG
rnacentral:rRNA from 1 species